rnacentral:misc_RNA from 1 species
CAUGAGUAGUUUUGGACCCGUGUCUGCCGGUAGAUCCCCCGACUCUUUGUGCGGCCGACUACCGGCGCCGUGUCCCGUCAUUCGUGUGGCUUAUGCUGCUGUUGCCUUUAAGUGCUUGCGUGCUGGUACCCGACCUACGGGAAGUGGUGCUUCUUACACGGUUAACUCGCGGCUUACACCUCCGGGUGUGAUGCUGCGGCCUGCUAGCGCUUGCGGCGUUUCCUCGUGGCCGUCACGCUUAAGUGCUGUCUGCUACCAAGGAAACCUCGCUCUCGCUGUUGGUCUCGGAUGCUGCUCACGAUAUAGUGUCAUGGCCCUUCUGGAUGUCUCGACACGACCCCCUCGAGACCUGCUCUCCGAAUUUGAGAACACCCGUGAACAGGUGUUGCCUCUACCUCUCCACAGUUAGUGGUAGGAUUACGCAACAUUCUGCGCCGAUCCUCAAUAAAGUAGGACGAGCUUGACCCUCGAGACAUGCUCUCCGAAUUUGAGAAAACCCGUGAACAGGUGUUGCCUCUACCUCUCCACAGUUAGUGGUAGGAUUACGCAACAUUCUGCGCCGAUCCUCAAUCAAGUAGGAUGAGCUUGGCCCGAUCAUUCGCGACAACCGGCUCGGAAGUUGCCUCAGCCUAUCCGCGGAAGUGGACGGGCGGACAAAGACCGAAGCUGGACGUCAACGAGGACGGNUN